rnacentral:rRNA from 1 species
AUUGAACGCUGGCGGCAGGCCUAACACAUGCAAGUCGAGCGCGAAAGUUCUUCGGAAUGAGUAAAGCGGCGGACGGGUGAGUAAUACAUGGGAAUCUGCCUGGUAGUGGGGGACAACGUUUCGAAAGGAACGCUAAUACCGCAUACGCCCUACCGGGGGAGGGAGGGGGGGAGUCUUCGGACCUCUCGCUAUCAGAUGAG